UCUCCGUUGGUGAACCAGCGGAGGGAUCAUUACCGAGUUUACAACUCCCAAACCCAAUGUGAACUAUACCAAACUGUUGCCUCGGCGGGGUCACGCCCCGGGUGCGUCGCAGCCCCGGAACCAGGCGCCCGCCGGAGGGACCAACCAAACUCUUUCUGUAGUCCCCUCGCGGACGUUAUUUUUACAGCUCUGAGCAAAAAUUCAAAAUGAAUCAAAACUUUCAACAACGGAUCUCUUGGUUCUG
rnacentral:misc_RNA from 1 species